rnacentral:rRNA from 1 species
AAUGUACAUGAGGCAUCUACUAUCUCCAAUAUUUUACAUCAGUUUUGUUAGCAUUCGGGUCAGCUCCUCAAUUGAAACAAAUCUGCCAUUCUUUUUAGUAAAAAAUGUGUCUUUGCAGGCUAAACAAGAUCUCAAGCAAUUUUUUCAGGUGCCAGACUUGGAUGCCAACAUCAUUCAUCUUGGUCAUCCACUCAUCCUGCCUGCAAAAGAGAGAUCUGCAGCCUACAACUUUGUUUAUGAUAAAUUCAAAUCCAAACUUUCAGCUUACAAGGCGAACAGACUCUCCCAUGUUGCAAGACUCACUCUUAUUAAAUCUGUUUUUGCCUCCAUACCUGUGUAUUAUAUGUCUAAUAUUCUUUUUCCUAAGAAGUUCCUAGGAAAGCUCACUGCGAUUAUAAAAAACUUUUGGUGGACAGGUGUAAGAGAUGAACCUACUACAAAAAGCUUGUGCCUAAGGGCAUGGGCAGACAUUUGCGUUGAGAAGAAAAUUGACGGCUUAGACAUCAGGAACUUGCAGGCAAUCAACCAAGGACUUAUUCUUUCAACGGCAUGGAGGUUGGCAAAAGAACCACAUAGCCAGAUGGCUUUGGUCCUCAAGGCUAAGUAUCACCAUGAAACGUCCAUUUGGAGAGUCAAAGCAAACAAGCCAAAAUCAGCUUUCUAGGCUGUAAUACUAAAGGUGAAGCCUCUCUUAAUUUCAGCCUCUACCUAUCAGAUUAUAGAUGGUAAUAGUUCUGUGUGGAGUUCUCCUUGGUUUUCGAGAUGGAAAGGAAUUUAUGAUCAUCUAAUUAUACAAGAGCAAUCUUUUGUCUAUCCUGCUAUUGUUAGAGAUCUUUGGUUGCCAAAUCAAAAAGCUUGAAAUGCGGAUCUAAUUAAUUCUUUGUUCUCUCCUAAGAUAGCUAAUGAUAUUCUUCAGAUCCUAUAGUUGUUGCUGCUGGACAAGAUGCCUUGAUUUGGAAACUAACACCUGCAGGAAAUUUCUCCUCCAAGAGUGCAUAUAAGCAUUGCUUCAACAACCUUGACCUACCAGCUAGACAGCGACCGAAAGAGGUUCAUCCUCAGAUCGUUGCUCUUCUUAAUCAAGUUUGGCAGGACAAACUCAUGGCGCCGCGACAUUUGCUUGGAGACUUCUUAGGAGAGCGCUUCCUACAGGAAAUUUUGCAGGCCCUUUCAGGUGUAUGCAGCAGCAAACACAAUCAUACAAGGAACCAAAUUAGGAGAAAUCCCUGCUGAAGCUCAUGCUAUGCAUUGCUUAUAGGACCAACUGGUGCAGCCGACAAUACAAAAUCCACGCUCUUUUUCAGGCAACACAAUCUUUUGUGAUGCUGCGUGGGAAAUACAUCCAGCUCACACUCCUAAACAGGCAAGAAUUGGAGUCUUCAUUCAGGUUCAGAAUAAUGAUCGAACCCAUCAACUUCACAUUGCAGCUAUGUCUCCUAUGGCUUCUUCUCCUCUUCAAGCUGAGACUUUUGGUCUCAUGCUUGCAACCAGGCUGGUGGAAAUACUCAAUGUUUAGGAACCACAUUUCUUUACGGAUUGUUCAGUGCUAGUUUCGGCAGUAAAAUCGACGGACAUUCUCUCUGCUCCAGGUCCAUGGGACAACAGACCACUGCUUGCACAGAUACAAAACAGUCCUUCUUUUCAGAGUGGCAAAGUUGCUCACAUUAGCAGGGGAAACAAUGUCAAGGCGCAUCAUCUUGCACGCCUAGCUUUGAAAGUUCAAAACAGCCAUGUACUGUUUCGUUGCUUAUGUCUUCAUGCAGGACUUUGUUCAACUAGGGAUUCCCUCUCUGUAUCCAGCGUGCUUCCUUUCACGCUUGUCUCUGUAAAAUGCUCCUAAG